rnacentral:rRNA from 1 species
GGAGUAUUGCACAAUGGGGGAAACCCUGAUGCAGCAACGCCGCGUGAGUGAUUGAAGUAUUUCGGUAUGUAAAACUCUAUCAGCAGGGAAGAAGAUGACGGUACCUGAUUAAGAAGCCCCGGCUAACUACGUGCCAGCAGCCGCGGUAAUACGUAGGGGGCAAGCGUUAUCCGGAUUUACUGGGUGUAAAGGGAGCGUAGACGGCGAUGAAAGUCUGAAGUGAAAGCCCGGGGCUCAACCCCGGGACUGCUUUGGAAACUGUAUAGCUAGAGUGCUGGAGAGGCAAGCGGAAUUCCUAGUGUAGCGGUGAAAUGCGUAGAUAUUAGGAAGAACACCAGUGGCGAAGGCGGCUUGCUGGACAGUAACUGACGUUGAGGCUCGAAAGCGUGGGGAGCAAAC